CAGGCCAUGGGAAGACAUUACCUGUUGAUAACACAGACUAUUCUCAUGAUCAUGGGAGGUGUGAGAGAAUUGCUGCUCUUUGUGAUGACUGUGGGGGUUGUCAAAGUUUCUUGUUACCCUGUUGGAAAGUCCCAGAAGCAAGAUCAAGUCUCUCUGCAGAGGAGACUUGGAGAGCUGUCAUCAAAUGACGUCUCCAUUGAGCAUGCCCUGGCCUUGCUCCGAUCCAUAGGGUCUGACGCUAAACAAGACAGAGAAGAGUAUUUAGAGACUAACGAAGUAGAAUCCCAAGCUUCUCCAAACCAUGGUAGCUCUCAGGCAAAUGAUGCCCUGUCCUCUGAGGAGAAGCUGAGGCGCAUGUCCUCUGACGACGCUGCGACUGGCCCCGUCUGACGACGCUACCUCUGAAGCUGCGACUGGCCCGUCUGACGACGCUACCUCUGAAGCUGCGACUGGCCCGUCUGACGACGCUACCUCUGAAGCUGCGACUGGCCCGUCUGACGACGCUACCUCUGAAGCUGCGACUGGCCCGUCUGACGACGCUACCUCUGAAGCUGCGACUGGCCCGUCGUCUGACGACGCUACCUCUGAAGCUGCGACUGGCCCGUCUGACGACGCUACCUCUGAAGCUGCGACUGGCCCCGUCUGACGACGCUACCUCUGAAGCUGCGACUGGCCCGUCUGACGACGCUACCUCUGAAGCUGCGACUGGCCCCCCGUCUGACGACGCUACCUCUGAAGCUGCGACUGGCCCGUCUGACGACGCUACCUCUGAAGCUGCGACUGGCCCGUCUGACGACGCUACCUCUGAAGCUGCGACUGGCCCGUCUGACGACGCUACCUCUGAAGCUGCGACUGGCCCGUCUGACGACGCUACCUCUGAAGCUGCGACUGGCCCGUCGUCUGACGACGCUACCUCUGAAGCUGCGACUGGCCCGUCUGACGACGCUACCUCUGAAGCUGCGACUGGCCCGUCUGACGACGCUACCUCUGAAGCUGCGACUGGCCCGUCGUCUGACGACGCUACCUCUGAAGCUGCCACUGGCCCGUCUGACGACGCUACCUCUGAAGCUGCGACUGGCCCGUCUGACGACGCUACCUCUGAAGCUGCGACUGGCCCGUCUGACGACGCUACCUCUGAAGCUGCGACUGGCCCGUCUGACGACGCUACCUCUGAAGCUGCGACUGGCCCGUCUGACGACGCUACCUCUGAAGCUGCGACUGGCCCGUCUGACGACGCUACCUCUGAAGCUGCGACUGGCCCGUCUGACGACGCUACCUCUGAAGCUGCGACUGGCCCCCCGUCUGACCAUGCCUUUGAGGAACUGUUGGCCGCUACCUCUGAAGCUGCGACUGGCCCCCCGUCUGACCAUGCCUUUGAGGAACUGUUGGCCGCUACCUCUGAAGCUGCGACUGGCCCCCCGUCUGACCAUGCCUUUGAGGAACUGUUGGCCGCUACCUCUGAAGCUGCGACUGGCCCCCCGUCUGACCAUGCCUUUGAGGAACUGUUGGCCGCUACCUCUGAAGCUGCGACUGGCCCCCCGUCUGACCAUGCCUUUGAGGAACUGUUGGCCGCUACCUCUGAAGCUGCGACUGGCCCCCCGUCUGACCAUGCCUUUGAGGAACUGUUGGCCGCUACCUCUGAAGCUGCGACUGGCCCCCCGUCUGACCAUGCCUUUGAGGAACUGUUGGCCGCUACCUCUGAAGCUGCGACUGGCCCCCCGUCUGACCAUGCCUUUGAGGAACUGUUGGCCGCUACCUCUGAAGCUGCGACUGGCCCCCCGUCUGACGACGCUACCUCUGAAGCUGCGACUGGCCCGUCUGACGACGCUACCUCUGAAGCUGCGACUGGCCCGUCUGACGACGCUACCUCUGAAGCUGCGACUGGCCCCCUGCGACUGGCCCCGUCUGACGACGCUACCUCUGAAGCUGCGACUGGCCCGUCUGACGACGCUACCUCUGAAGCUGCGACUGGCCCGUCUGACGACGCUACCUCUAAGGAACUGUUCACCGCUUCAUCGGAGCCCCCGUUGACCACAAACAUGGAUAUCUGACGUGGGACAUGCAAGAGUUCAUGGGUACUCUAGUCCAGGUUGUCUGUGUGUGUAACUGCAUUUGCUUGUUUUGGCUCAAUUAAACAUUAACUGUAA